rnacentral:misc_RNA from 1 species
GAAAUGCGAUAAGUAAUGUGAAUUGCAGAAUUCCGUGAAUCAUCGAAUCUUUGAACGCACAUUGCGCCCUCUGGUAUUCCGGGGGGCAUGCCUGUCCGAGCGUCAUUGCGAACCCCUCAAGCACGGCUUGUGUGAUGGGCCCUCCCGCGUCUUGGUCGUCAAGACGGGCCCAAAAUGCAGUGGCGGCUUCGCGGUUAUCCGAUCAGCCAGAGCGUAUGGGGACUUUCUCUCUGUCACACGCCCGCGGCGCGGACCGACGCCUGUCGACCUUUAUUCAUCUUUUUCUCGGUUGACCUCGGAUCAGGUAGGGAUACCCGCUGAACUUAAGC